AUUCAGAAUAAGGCUUGCCAUAGAGUGAGUAAUCAGAAAUGAGAGCUUGUAGCAUCAUGACAUUUGUUAUAUGCAAAGCACCAUUCUUAUGUUAAUUAAUGCAUGUAAUCCUCUCAACAUUGCAGUGGGACUAUUAAUAUCCCAACUUUAGAGGUGAGAAAACACAUACAGAGAAGUUUUACCACUUGUCUAGGGUCCGGUCACUAGCAAGUGGCUGAGCUUGAAUUCCCUGGGGGCUGGGCCCUAGCUCUUUGCUCCUUACCAUUCUGCCAUAGCACAUAUUUGUUAAACAAAGCUGGUAUCUUUAGGGUUUCUGGAAAAGAAAAACAAGUGGCCCACUGUGAGUGCCUGGGCCCCAGGGAGGGGGAUGAUGAGGGCUGGAGAGGAGGAAGAAGGGAACUUGCUUCUUCAUCUUUUGGAGGAGAGGGAAUAAAUGGAGACCUUGUGGGUGGGGAAAACUUGGGUGGACUUACUUGUUGGUGGAGAGGCUGGAGGUGAGACAUCCAUGGCCGGCUCAUGGCUCAAGUAGCACCCAGAGUCCGACAGACAGAGAGAAGGGUCUAAGCCACCUGGGUCUGGAGGGUUGCCUCUGCUCCUCAGCUAUCUAAGCGUUGAGGGUUUAGAACUGGUAGCUUGUCUGAGAUGUCACCUGCAAUAGUGUACGCCUCCUCCAGCCCUCCACAGCUGAGAGAGCAGUCAAAUGUCUUGAUUACUGCUGCUCCCCUGGCUUCUCCCAUAAAUAGUCACCACAUCAUACAGACAGAAGGGUCCCAGACAGAUGAGAAACUGCCCCGGCUCUGUUCCCAUCAGGGUUCCACCCGAGACGUUGUUGCCCUCUCUCCUCUACCCCACCUACCUUCAAAAGCCAGAGCGCCUCCCCAUCUCUGAUCUUAGAGAGUGAGGGCAGUGGGUUUGGUUUAACCCAGGCCAGGCCAGCAUGAAAUCAGAAACUGAGUCCAGGACAGACCCAUCGCGGGUGAGGGAGGGACUUCAGGGAGCAGGACCCAAGUUGAGGCUGACAGCUAGGGACAUGCCAGGUGAACCCAGAGACUGGGAUGGAAGACAAGGCAAAGCUGAGGGUCAGAAGUCAGACCAAGGCUGCAGAAACAAAUCCUCACCUCUGCCCCUCCUGAGAGCAAUCCCAGCAGAGGGUACCCAGGGGCUGGGGCUGAAUCGGGGACAUUCACCUGACACCAAGAGUUAAAGUGGACACUGCAGGAGCAAGUUGAGUCAGAAACAUGUGAGAAGCUGUGGUCUAAAAAGGGAAGUCUGAAGGGUCACCAAAGUGAAGGGGCCAGAAGUAGCCAUGGCAGCUGGGAUAUGGAGCUAGGAAUCUGAGAACCAGCAAGAUGAGAGCAAAAAUAGUAGGUCCAGGGUAAACAGGAUUGGUCUAGAACACAUGCUGCUUGUGGCUCACUCUGGUGGGCCAGCUGGGCAAGGUGGGAAUGUGGAUCUGCUAAAUUUAAAGGGCCAGAGCAGACAGCAGUGUACAGGGGACCUUGACACUGUCUCAGCCUGAGAGUCUCUUAUAAUAGCUCAGGUGGUGUCCAAAAGGGCUAGGCACGGUUUGCCCUGGACCUGGAGCCAGCCUCAGCCAGGCUGAGUGUAUGGGGGAGGGGAGGGCCAUGUUAGAGAUAAGAACAAAGCCUGGUGGGUGCUUGGGUGGAGGGACAAGUUUUGGCACUAGGGCCUUGGCACCUUAAGGCCUUCACGUUCAGGCCUGCAUGAGAAUAGGUCUGGAGGAGAGAGUAGCUGGUGAGUCACAAUCCCAGAUGUGGAGCAGAUGUUCUUGGCAGAUCUGGGCUGCUUGUCAGCAGGAUUUGACCACAGCCUGGAUCAGCUGUCAGGCUCAGGCCACCGGCCCUGUUGCAAGCACAGAGAAUGCCUAAGAACUCGCUCCUCUGCGAGUGUUCGCUGUUUGAAAUGCUUCAUAGCCCCACAGAGCCACAUUUGGGAUACUUUGCUGGCUCUUCCAGGAACAGGCCGGGACACAGUGAUGAAGCUCUGUGGAUAAAGCUGUACUAUCUCAGAGAGGCCUUGACACACAUCUGGAUUCCUACCUUCAGCUGGCUGUGGGCUGUGACCAUGUCUCUACAGGAGAGCCCAUGAAGCAAACACCGUGGGCCGGCUGCCAAGACUGGCAGAGUGAGACACAGUACUUGAAAUAAAUGCAGGGUGUUUGCUUCCAGAUUCUUCAC